rnacentral:rRNA from 1 species
UGCCUAAUACAUGCAAGUCGUACGCACUGGCCCAACUGAUUGAUGGUGCUUGCACCUGAUUGACGUUGGAUCACCAGUGAGUGGCGGACGGGUGAGUAACACGUAGGUAACCUGCCCCGGAGCGGGGGAUAACAUUUGGAAACAGAUGCUAAUACCGCAUAACAACAAAAGCCACAUGGCUUUUGUUUGAAAGAUGGCUUUGGCUAUCACUCUGGGAUGGACCUGCGGUGCAUUAGCUAGUUGGUAAGGUAACGGCUUACCAAGGCGAUGAUGCAUAGCCGAGUUGAGAGACUGAUCGGCCACAAUGGAACUGAGACACGGUCCAUACUCCUACGGGAGGCAGCAGUAGGGAAUCUUCCACAAUGGGCGCAAGCCUGAUGGAGCAACACCGCGUGAGUGAAGAAGGGUUUCGGCUCGUAAAGCUCUGUUGUUGGAGAAGAACGUGCGUGAGAGUAACUGUUCACGCAGUGACGGUAUCCAACCCAGAAAGUCACGGCUAACUACGUGCCAGCAGCCGCGGUAAUACGUAGGUGGCAAGCGUUAUCCGGAUUUAUUGGGCGUAAAGCGAGCGCAGGCGGUUGCUUAAGUUUGAUGUGAAAGCGUUCGGCUUCACCGAAGAAGUGCAUCGGAAACCGGGCGACUUGAGUGCAGAAGAGGACAGUGGAACUCCAUGUGUAGCGGUGGAAUGCGUAGAUAUAUGGAAGAACACCAGUGGCGAAGGCGGCUGUCUGGUCUGCAACUGACGCUGAGGCUCGAAAGCAUGGGUAGCGAACAGGAUUAGAUACCCUGGUAGUCCAUGCCGUAAACGAUGAGUGAUAGGUGUUGGAGGGUUUCCGCCCUUCAGUGCCGGAAGCUAAUGCAUUAAGCAGUCCCCCUGGGGAGUACGACCGCAAGGUUGAAACUCAAAGGAAUUGACGGGGGCCCGCACAAGCGGUGGAGCAUGUGGUUUAAUUCGAAGGUACGCGAAGAGCCUUACCAGGUCUUGACAUCUUGCGCUAACCUUAGAGAUAAGGCGUUCCCUUCGGGGACGCAAUGACAGGUGGUGCAUGGUCGUCGUCAGCUCGUGUCGUGAGAUGUUGGGUUAAGUCCCGCAACGAGCGCAACCCUUGUUACUAGUUGCCAGCAUUAAGUUGGGCACUCUAGUGAGACUGCCGGUGACAAACCGGAGGAAGGUGGGGACGACGUCAGAUCAUCAUGCCCCUUAUGACCUGGGCUACACACGUGCUACAAUGGACGGUACAACGAGUCGCAAGCUCGCGAGAGUAAGCUAAUCUCUUAAAGCCGUUCUCAGUUCGGACUGUAGGCUGCAACUCGCCUACACGAAGUCGGAAUCGCUAGUAAUCGCGGAUCAGCAUGCCGCGGUGAAAACGUUCCCGGGCCUUGUACACACCGCCCGUCA